AACGCACGAGACCUGCGGACCUGCGGAAGGAUCAUUACCGAGUUUUCAACUCCCAAACCCCUGUGAACAUACCAUUUUGUUGCCUCGGCGGUGCCUGUUCCGACAGCCCGCCAGAGGACCCCAAACCCAAACUUCCUUGAGUGAGUCUUCUGAGUAACCGAUUAAAUCAAUCAAAACUUUCAGCAAUGGAUCUCU
rnacentral:misc_RNA from 1 species